rnacentral:rRNA from 1 species
UACGGAGGAUCCGAGCGUUAUCCGGAUUUAUUGGGUUUAAAGGGUGCGCAGGCGGGAGAUUAAGUCGGCGGUGAAAUUUUGCAGCUCAACUGUAAAAGUGCCUUCGAUACUGGUUUCCUUGAGUGUGGAUGAAGUAGGCGGAAUUUGUGGUGUAGCGGUGAAAUGCUUAGAUAUCACGAGGAACUCCGAUUGCGCAGGCAGCUUACUAAACUACUACUGACGCUCAGGCACGAAGGCGUGGGGAUCAAACAGGAUUAGAUACCCUGGUA